GUGCAGCAGUCGCGAAACUUUACAAUGUGCGAAAGCACGAUAAGGGAACUCUGAGUGCCUCCUAAGGAGGCCGUUCAGGUGUCUAAAAGCACCUGGAGUAAGGGCUGGGUAAGACCGGUGCCAGCCGCCGCGGUAACACCGGCAGCCCAGGUGGUAGCCACUUUUAUUGGGUCUAAAGCGUCCGUAGCCGGUUGAGUAAGUUCCUUGGGAAAUUUGGCUGCUCAACAGUCAAGCUUCCAGGGAAUACUGCUCGACUUGGGACUGGGAGAGGUCAGAGGUACUCCAGGGGUAGGGGUGAAAUCCAUUAAUCCCUGGGGGACCACCGGUAGCGAAGGCGUCUGACCAGACCAGGUCCGACGGUGAGGGACGAAGGCUAGGGUCGCGAACCGGAUUA
rnacentral:rRNA from 1 species